CCCUGUGUAGCUCAAUGGUAGAGCGGUCGGCUGUAGCCCGACAGGUUCCUGGUUCGAGUCCGGGCGCAGGGA
rnacentral:tRNA from 1 species